UGCUGAGGUUUGAGGUCAGACUGGAUGUCAGCGCUGAUCUGCCGUGACUCUGCUGAUGGAUUCAGAUUUCCUCCAAACCUUCAAGGAAGGCCUGAAGAGGCUCGACGCUUCUGAGAGCUCCAGAGCCAUGAAGCACAAUCGCCCUCAGCUGCUGCUUUAUGUGUGAAACACAUUGUGUACGGAUGGAGGACUGCCUCGUGAUCUAUUUGUUGAUUCUCUCCUGGUCUGGGUCACUGGAUCCAAUUACAUCGCGACCCUUUAAGCCCUUUAGUUCUUGCUGACCGAAGUCUCUCGUCCUCCCGGCGCUGUAAGCCGUCUAUCAGAUAAUGGAACGCUGCCUCCACCUUUCCGCCUCCUCGGGGGAAAUCUGCGAAGAGCAGCUGCCCUUUAUCAAGCAGCUUUUCCCCAGCUUUUCCCAUCUCGCACCUCCCGAGUCAACCCACCUCGACGACAGAGAGAGCAGUGAGCACAUCAUCCACCUGGACUCCAUCAGAAACACACCAAAUACACACUCGGAGAGCUAGCAGGACUGCUCAGAUCUGCUCACGGGGCAUUUACACCGAUAUUACAGAUAAAAGAUGUCAAUGAUCAGGAGAGGGGAAAAGUGGUAAAGGAAUCGAAUUGUGAGUAAAACUGUGCGUGGGUCUCAGACAUGCUCAUUUUAGCAAUACUACAUCCCUAAACUUUCUAAAACAAGGUUCAUCAGAGCAGAAGAACAGAGUGAUGUUUAUUUAGAUGGUGGAAUAUUCUACAGAACGUGGGCAGAAAUGGCCCAUCUAUCUUUCUGAUGAAAUCUUAAAGCAAUCUAGUUCUGUUUUACCUGCUCUUUUUUCGCUAAAACGAGUGUUUAUAUCAAAUUUCAGACCUGGUCCAAUCAUAUUCUGGUCAAUAAAGGUGGUUAAAUAAAUAAAAUCUGUCCUUUUGUAAUGCUGGCAGAG